rnacentral:lncRNA from 1 species
CAUUCUACAUCCAUCAAACAAAUGAUAAUUCACCCAAUAUCUAAAAGCCUUGUUUUUUCAAUAUACACUGUACACAUUAUAGAUUAUUGCCGUAUUACCCUUCUCAACCAACCGGUGAAACCUACUAACAAAAAUAAUUAAAAUAUAUAUAAAAAACUUUUAGCCAAAUCUUCUGAUCCAUCACCACCACCGCCACGUCUCUACUCCACCAUCUAUUUCCACUGUC